UACGAAGGGGGCUAGCGUUGUUCGGAAUUACUGGGCGUAAAGCGUGCGCAGGCGGCUUCUCAAGUCAGGGGUGAAAGCCCAGAGCUUAACUCUGGAAUUGCCUUUGAGACUGAGAGGCUUGAGUACGGGAGAGGUGAGUGGAAUUCCCAGUGUAGAGGUGAAAUUCGUAGAUAUUGGGAAGAACACCGGUGGCGAAGGCGGCUCACUGGCCCGUAACUGGACGCUCAUGCACGACAGCGUGGGGAUCAAACAGGG
rnacentral:rRNA from 1 species